UCCAUCCUUUGGCUUUGCUGCGGCUUUCAAGUUUUGAUGCCUUGCUGCUGCUGAUCUCCUCGCACCCCUUUGACGUCUUUGAACGCACAGAAAUUGGAGUUUCAACUACAAACUCAACACUCUUUGCAAAGUGAUCACCUGGACAGAGAGCGGUUUACACCAAUUCUCGUGCUGCUGCUGGAUUUCCUGGAUACAAACCAGUCUCUUGCGUGAAGCUACCCGGCAGCGCAAUUUCCAAGCAAUUCGCUGAUUGAGGCAAUAGGAAGCGUACCAUUUCUCAGAAAAAAAGCAGCAAUGGCGGACCGACAAUCACAAAUGCUAUGUCCCGUUUUCUG
rnacentral:lncRNA from 1 species